rnacentral:misc_RNA from 1 species
UUAAGUUCAGCGGGUAGUCCUACCUGAUUUGAGGUCAAGUUUGUCAAGUCUUUCCUCAAGUUUGGUUCUGAGCAGCGUGAUCUGUUCAUGCAGCAUACCAAAGGCAUAGAUAAUUUAUCACACCUACAGUAGCAGCUCAGAUGCCACUAAUGCGUUUCAGGGGAGCCGACCCAUAGAUAGGCCUGCAAAAGAGCCCCCAC